GUGCUCAUUUUGGUAACACAUACCUAAAACUGGAAUGAUACAGGGAAGGUUAGCAUGGCCCCUGCACAAGGAUGACUCGCAAAUUCGUGAAACAUUCCAUAUUUUU